rnacentral:misc_RNA from 1 species
GGAAGGAUCAUUAACACUUUUUAUCCAAUAAAAAAAACUAAACGUGAACUUUUCCCCUCCCUAUAUCAUUUUACAUGAUAUAGGCUACCAUUUUAUUUUAUUUAAAACCACUUUAACUUUUUAUAAGUCUUUGUUUGUAAAGUCUAACGGCCUACAAAACAAAAAGACUGACUAACUAAAAAUUUUACUUAAGAUGUCAAACAUUAAAUGUUGAUCUCUUAAUUAAUAUUUUUUCUUUACGAAAUAAAUAUUAGUAUAUAAGAACAACUCUUAGCAAUGGAUAUCUUGGUUCUCGCAACGAUGAAGAACGCAGCGAAAUGCGAUAUGUAAUGCGAAUUGCAGAAUUCAGUGAAUCAUCAAAUCUUUGAACGCAAAUUGCGCUCUUGGGAUAGACCUAGGAGCACGCCCCUUUGAGUAUCAGUUCUAACACAAACUCAACUAAUCAAAAGGAAACUUUUGACUUUAGUUGGAUAAUGAGUUGUCUCGAUGCCGUAUAAAAUACUUUUGUAUUUUAUAUUGAGCCUUUGAGUCACUUUAAAGACAGAGAGUUUAGAUCUCCAAUGUAUUGCCUUUAAAAGGGCUAGCUACUUGCAUAUUGUUUGCAUCUUAGCAUAAAAACUAAUGACGUGGAUAAUUUCACCUUUACGGUGUCUCAGAAACGUCAAUAUUGGUCUUUUGUUACGAAUUGCCUUUGUAAGUAUGUGAAGGACUUGGAUCGUAGCUAAACGGAGAAGUGGGUUUUUUAGUAACAUAAAAUUCCCAACAAACUUUUGGAUUUAGAUCUCAGAUGGAGCGAGAAUACCCCCUGAAUUUAAGCAUAUUAAUAAGGGGAGGAAAAGAAACUAACAAGGAUUCCCUUAGUAACGGCGAGUGAAGCGGGAAAAGCUCAAAAUGAAAAUCGGGAACCCAAGCGGGUUUUUGAAUUGUAUGCUAGAGACGUGUUGUCAGCGUGUGACCUAGAUUGAAAUCUCUUGAAACAGGGUAUCAUAGAGGGUGAGAAUCCCGUCUGCAAUCUGGAGUUCGCCGCGUACGACGCAUGUUCAAAGAGUCGAGUUGUUUGGGAUUGCAGCUCUAAUUGGGUGGUAAGUUUCAUCUAAAGCUAAAUACUGGCGAGAGACCGAUAGCGAACAAGUACCGUGAGGGAAAGAUGAAAAGAACUUUGAAAAGAGAGUUAAAAAGUACUUGAAAUUGUUAAGAGGGAAGCGCUGAAAUUCAGUCAUUUGCUCUAGGUUAUUUUGCUAUUCGCUUACGAAGAAUAGGGUAGCCAAGUGUGUAAACCUUGGUUGUCUUAUUGGACGAUAAGUGGGUGGUUUCUGUAAUUUAGGGUGAGUCAGAAUCUUUUCGAUUCGCGUGAGAAAGUUAUGAGGAAGGUAGGCUAUAGCAAUAUAGCUGUUAUAGCCUUGUAGCCCUAACGUGGAUUGGAUUGAGGAAAUGUGAUAUGAUGCGCCGCAGGCUUAGUAGCCUAUCUCUAUUGAUUGGUAAGGGUCAAGAUAACAAUGUUAUGUAGCCUUUAUUAGUUGAUACUGGGUAGGACUACUUUAUGCAUCAUCGCGAUUCUGACGAAAUGGAUUUCAUCGACCCGUCUUGAAACACGGACCAAGGAGUCUAACAUAUAUGCGAGUAUUUGGGUGGAAAACCCUAGUGCGUAAUGAAAGUAAAGGUUAGCUUGCUAACUGUGGUAGGAAUCCUCGUAAGGGGAGGCACUAUCGACCGAUCAUCACUUGUGAAAGAUUUGAGUAAGAGCAUAUCUGUUGGGACCCGAAAGAUGGUGAUCUAUGCCUGAACAGGGUGAAGCCAGGGGAAACUCUGGUGGAGGCUCGUAGCGAUACUGACGUGCAAAUCGUUCGUCUGAUUUGGGUAUAGGGGCGAAAGACUAAUCGAACCAUUUAGUAGCUGGUUCCCUC